GGAGAACACCUGGGCUCGCGGCUCAUCACACAGCUCAUCACACAGACGAGGGGAACCCUCUCCCUCGGGAUCACUGGGGCAGGCGCUGUGCCUCUGAGCUACAUCCCCGGCCCUUCUCUUGGACUUUCAAACGAGUUGUUUAUGAAUUUUGAACUGGGCUGGAAUCCUGAAUGUGCUGCUACAUAGCUGAGUGAAUCCGAGAGAUUUCUUUCUCUGAGCCUCAGCUGACUCAUCUGCAAAACGUGGACAGUAGUAACACCAGCCCUCUGGGUGGUCGUCACUCGGUGAAAAUGAUAGGAGGUGACACAGGUGAAGCACUUAGGACCCGGUAGUUGGCAAACAGUUGAUCCAUUUUGGGGGUGAGAAUAAUAUUCUGAGAACAUCUUCUAUUUGCAAAGUACAGACUGAGGAGACGCCCUGGGCCACCCCUCCCAUCUUCGGCAAGAGGGGCGAGGAGCCCCCGCUCCGUGGGGCCAGCUGUCAGGAGGGCGUGGGAGCGGGACGCGCUCCCUCCGGGACUCCGCCUGGCUGCCUGCUGGUCCUGGCCGGCGCAGGGCCUGGUGUUUGCAGGCUGCCCCACCACACCCGGCCCUCGCCCCCGGAUGAUAUGGGACCUCCAAGAAGAAGCGUCCAUCGCCACCGCGGGCCUCCAGCACCACCUGCAGCAGCAACCGGCCAGAGCGCUCACUGGGAGGAGCCGCAGGCCAGGAGGUGGACACUCCCCGGGGCUCAUCUGGCGGGGUGACUCCUCCUGGGCCUGGAGAUGCGGUAGGGGACAGGGACAGGGUGAGGAAGGAGGGCCGGCAGGAGGUGAAAGGGUUGGUGCCCCACCUCCGGCUGGAAUGCUCUGUUGGGGUGGAGCCUGGGCUGCGGGUGAGGCUCCCUCUCCGUCCCCCUGGUCCCACCCCUCUGGUGGAUGACCUGACCGCUCCCCACUCAGGAGCUGCCCUCCUCCUCACCGCCGCGUCUGGAGGGAGGGGACAGGAAGGGCACUAAACAGAAUGAAGACGUGUUAUGUACGUGUGCCAGCUCCCCAUGAUGAACAUGAUCACUGUGUACUGCAAACAUGGACUAUAAACAUUAAAACAAAAACGCGACUGCUGGUCUCACGUCUAUGCAGGAUCCUGCUGUGGCUCCCCACUGCCCUUGCGGGGGAAGCCCGGUAUCUUAGCCCAUUUGGGCUUCUAUACCCAGAGGUGGUUUACAAGCACAGAAAUGUAUCUCCUCACAGUUCUAGAGGCCGAGAAAGCCAAGAUUAGGGCGCAGGCACAUUCCAUG